GACGAACGCUGGCGGCGUGCUUAACACAUGCAAGUCGAACGGUGAAGCGCCUUCCUUUUUGGUGGGUGUGGAUGAGUGGCGAACGGGUGAGUAACACGUGAGUAACCUGCCCCCUUCUUCUGGAUAACCGCAUGAAAGUGUGGCUAAUACGGGAUAUUCUGGGUCUGUCGCAUGAUGGGUCUGGGAAAGAUUUUGUUUCGGUGGGGGAUGGGCUCGCGGCCUAUCAGCUUGUUGGUGGGGUGAUGGCCUACCAAGGCGGGGACGGGUAGCCGGCCUGAGAGGGUGGACAGUCACAAUGGGACAGAGACACGACACAGACUCGGACGGGAGGAAGCAGGAGGGAAUAUUGCACAAUGGGCGCAAGCCUGAUGAAGCGACGCCGCGUGAGGGAUGGAUGCCUUCGGGUUGUGAACCUCUUUCGCCAGUGAAGCAGGCGUGCCUCGUUUGUGGCUGGGUUGACGGUAGCUGGAUAAGAAGCGCCGGCUAACUACGUG
rnacentral:rRNA from 1 species